GUGCUCGCUUCGGCAGCACAUAUACCAAAAUUGGAAUGAUACAGAGAAGAUUAGCACGGCGUCUGCACAAGGAUGACAUACAAAUUCGCGAAGCACUCCGUAUUUUU